UCCCUAAAAACAGUUGUUUUUUUCUGAAGUGAAAUACAGGUGGAGACUAACACAUCCCCUCUGCUUGUCAUAAGCUCAUUAGCUGGACCUCAGGUCCUAGUGAGAGAGCCCACCAAGGCCUUGGGCUCUGAGCCCAGGUGACCAGCAGACAUCUCAGGUGUGUCAGGGCCUGAGAGCACUGGACAUGGACAUGGUGGAAGGACUGUCCAGCCAGUGUCCUGGAAAUAUUUGAACACAGUGGGGAGACCUAGCAGGGUUUUCCCUUGAAGUAGUUGACUGAAAAUCUGCAUUCCUUUUGGACACAGGUGGAAGAUAAUGAAGUAAAAUUGUCUGAGAAAACCCAGCAAGCAGUGAGGGGGGAUGAGUCUUUCCUGGGCACUUAUCUAACAGGAGGAGAAGGAGCAUAUCUUUAUUCCAGCAAUCUACAGUCCUGGCCUGAGGAAGGGAAUGUUCAUUUCUUCUCUAGUGGCCUUCUGUUUUCUCACUGUCGUCAUAGAAGUAUCAUCAUUUCCAAGGAUCACAUGAAUUCCAUUUCCUUCUAUGAUGGGGAUUCCACCAGUACUGUUGCUGCUCUUCUCAUAGACUUCAAAAGCUCAUUGCUUCCUCACCUCCCAGUUCAUUUCCAUGGAUCAAGCAAUUUUCUGAUGAUUGCCCUUUUCCCCAAAUCGAAGAUAUACCAAGCAUUUUACUCAGAGGUCUUCUCCCUCUGGAAACAGCAGGAUAACUCAGGGAUCUCUUUAAAAGUGAUCCAGGAAGAUGGAUUAUCUGUGGAACAAAAGAGAUUGUAAGUGGCUGCUUCAGUAUUUGUGCUUGCUUCCCUAGGCUUUGUGGGUGUGCUCUCUCUGCAGGAUGCCUCGCAUUAUGUAACACAGGGGUCUUGGCUUCUGAAAGGGUCAACACAGACAUUUCAAUGCUGCCAACUUGCAGGUAGCCGGUGCCCUUGGGGGAAUAGAAGGCAAGAGAGGGCCAUGUGCAGUGCCUCACACUUGUAAUCCCAACACUUUGGGAGGCUGAGGCAGGAGGAUGAAUUGAGCACAAGAAUUAGAGACUAGCCUGCCUGGGCAACAUAGUGAGACCCCGUCCCUACAAAAAAUAAAAAAUUAGCUGGGUAUGGUGGCACAUGCCUGUAGUCUCAGCUAGUCAGGAGGCCGGGGUGGAAGGGUUACUUGAGCCCAGGAAUUCAAGGUUGCAGUGAGCCGUGACCAUGCCAUUGCACUUCAGCCUGAGUGAUGAAACAAGACCCUUUCUCAAAAAAAAAAACGAAAAAUGUCCCCACUGCCAGGAGCCAGUGUGGCUGUGAGGGGCCACGUCUCACAGCCCUGACCCGGGCCAAGCAUGGUGUUGGGCGCCGGGCCCGUCUCACCUGUCUUGGGGGGCGCCCAGUGUCUUACUCUGUCACCCCGGGUAGAGUGCAGUGGUGCGGUCCUGGCUCACUGCAGCCUUGACCUCCUAGGCUCAGGUUAUCCUCCCGCUUAGCAGGUGGGACUACAGAGGUUGCAGAACUUGAAGCUAAUUUACCUUGUACAUGUAAAGUGCAUUUUCCUGAUCCAAACAAGCUUCACUGUUCUCAGCUAACAGUAACUCCAGAUGAGGGUUACUACCAGGGUGGAAAAUUUCAGCUUGAAACCGAAGUUCCCGAUGUGUACAACAUGGUGCCUCCCAAAGUGAAAUGCCUGACCAAGAUCUGGCACCCCAACAUCACAGAGACAGGGGAAAUAUGUCUGAGUUUACUGAGAGAACAUUCAAUUGACGGCACUGGCUGGGCUCCCAUGAGAACAUUAAAGGAUGUCGUUUGGGGAUUAAACUCUUUGUUUACUGAUUUUUGAAUUUUGAUGAUCCACUGAAUAUUGAAGCUGCAGAACAUCAUUUGCAGGACAAGGAGGACUUCCAGAAUAAAGUGGACAACUACAUCACGCGUUAUGCCAGAUAAUAAAAGGGGACGGUUGCAGGCCCAUGGACUGUGUUACAGUUUGUCUCUAAUGUGAAACAGCAGGAGGUAGCCCCACCUCCCAUCCUCACGCUCCCUCUCAGUCCCCUGGAUUGCCCCAGUCCUGUGACCAUGUUGCCCUGAAGAAGACCAUCUUCGUGACUGCUCAUUGUAGAUGGGGAAUUCAACAUAAAUACAGCAAGAAAAUGUGUUUGGGCUUCUUU
rnacentral:lncRNA from 10 species